GAGAGUUUGAUCCUGGCUCAGGACGAACGCUGGCGGCGUGCCUAACACAUGCAAGUCGAGCGAAUGAAGUUCCUUCGGGAACGGAUUUAGCGGCGGACGGGUGAGUAACACGUGGGCAACCUGCCUCAUAGAGGGGAAUAGCCUUCCGAAAGGGAGAUUAAUACCGCGUAAGAUUGUAGUACCGCAUGGUACAGCAAUUAAAGGAGCAAUCCGCUAUGAGAUGGGCCCGCGGCGCAUUAGCUAGUUGGUGAGGUAACGGCUCACCAAGGCGACGAUGCGUAGCCGACCUGAGAGGGUGAUCGGCCACAUUGGGACUGAGACACGGCCCAGACUCCUACGGGAGGCAGCAGUGGGGAAUAUUGCACAAUGGGGGAAACCCUGAUGCAGCAACGCCGCGUGAGUGAUGACGGCCUUCGGGUUGUAAAGCUCUGUCUUCAGGGACGAUAAUGACGGUACCUGAGGAGGAAGCCACGGCUAACUACGUGCCAGCAGCCGCGGUAAUACGUAGGUGGCGAGCGUUGUCCGGAUUUACUGGGCGUAAAGGGAGCGUAGGCGGAUUUUUAAGUGAGAUGUGAAAUACUCGGGCUUAACCUGAGUGCUGCAUUUCAAACUGGAAGUCUAGAGUGCAGGAGAGGAGAAGGGAAUUCCUAGUGUAGCGGUGAAAUGCGUAGAGAUUAGGAAGAACACCAGUGGCGAAGGCGCUUCUCUGGACUGUAACUGACGCUGAGGCUCGAAAGCGUGGGGAGCAAACAGGAUUAGAUACCCUGGUAGUCCACGCCGUAAACGAUGAGUGCUAGGUGUUGGGGGUCAAACCUCGGUGCCGGAGCUAACGCAUUAAGCACUCCGCCUGGGGAGUACGUACGCAAGUAUGAAACUCAAAGGAAUUGACGGGGACCCGCACAAGCAGCGGAGCAUGUGGUUUAAUUCGAAGCAACGCGAAGAACCUUACCAGGACUUGACAUGCCAUUGACCACUUUAGAGAUAAAGUUUUAGCCUUCGGGCUACAAUGGACACAGGUGGUGCAUGGUUGUCGUCAGCUCGUGUCGUGAGAUGUUGGGUUAAGUCCCGCAACGAGCGCAACCCUUAUUUUUAGUUGCAAACAUUUAAGAUGUGCACUCUAGAGAGACUGCCGAUGACAAAUCGGAGGAAGGUGGGGAUGACGUCAAAUCAUCAUGCCCUUUAUGUCCUGGGCUACACACGUGCUACAAUGGUCGGUACAACGAGGAGCAAGCUAGCGAUAGCAAGCAAAUCUCUAAAAGCCGAUCCCAGUUCGGAUUGCAGGCUGCAACUCGCCUGCAUGAAGUCGGAGUUGCUAGUAAUCGCGAAUCAGAAUGUCGCGGUGAAUGCGUUCCCGGGUCUUGUACACACCGCCCGUCACACCAUGGGAGUUGGAAAUACCCGAAGCCAGUGAGCUAACCUAAGGGGAGCAGCUGUCGAAGGUAGGGUCAAUGACUAGGGUGAAGUCGUAACAAGGUAGCCGUAG
rnacentral:rRNA from 1 species